GACCGGCAGAAGGGUGCGUAACGCGUGAGCAACAUACCCGUAUCAGAGGAAUAAUCAGUGGAAACGCUGUCUAAUGCCUCAUGCGAGUAGUUUUCGCAUGAAGAUUACUUAAAAAUUACGAUGGAGACGGAUUGGCUCGCGUGACAUUAGCUAGUCGGCGGGGUAACGGCCCACCGAGGCGACGAUGUCUAGGGGUUCUGAGAGGAAGAUCCCCCACACUGGGACUGAGACACGGCCCAGACUCCUACGGGAGGCAGCAGUGAGGAAUAUUGGUCAAUGGGCGGAAGCCUGAACCAGCCAUGCCGCGUGAAGGAGGACGGUCCUACGGAUUGUAAACUUCUUUUGUACCGGAGCAAUAAGUUUCACGCGUGGAAUGAUGAGAGUACGGUACGAAUAAGCAUCGGCUAACUCCGUGCCAGCAGCCGCGGUAAUACGGGGGAUGCGAGCGUUAUCCGGAUUUAUUGGGUUUAAAGGGUGCGUAGGCGGUUUUGUAAGUCGGAGGUGAAAAGGCAGGGCUCAACCUUGUCCGUGCCUUCGAAACUAUGAGACUUGAGAGCGGUUGCCGCAGGAGGAAUGAGUGGUGUAGCGGUGAAAUGCAUAGAUAUCACUCAGAACGCCGAUUGCGAAGGCAUUUUGCGAAGCCGUAUCUGACGCUGAGGCACGAAAGUGCGGGGAUCGAACAGGAUUAGAUACCCUGGUAGUCCGCACAGUAAACGAUGAUGGCUAACCGCCGGGUAGUUAAUAUUCGGUGGCCAAGCGAAAGCGAUAAGCCAUCCACCUGGGGAGUACGACCGCAAGGUUGAAACUCAAAGGAAUUGACGGGGGCCCGCACAAGCGGAGGAACAUGUGGUUUAAUUCGAUGAUACGCGAGGAACCUUACCCGGGCUCGAACGGCAGAUGAACGAGGUAGAGAUACCGAGGUCCUUCGGGACAUUUGUCGAGGUGCUGCAUGGUUGUCGUCAGCUCGUGCCGUGAGGUGUCGGCUUAAGUGCCAUAACGAGCGCAACCCUUGCCUUCAGUUACCAGCGUGUAACGACGGGAACUCUGGAGGGACUGCCACCGCAAGGUGAGAGGAGGGGGGGGAUGACGUCAAAUCAGCACGGCCCUUACGUCCGGGGCGACACACGUGUUACAAUGGUGGGUACAGAGGGAAGCUACCUGGCGACAGGAUGCGGAACCCGAAAACCCAUCUCAGUUCGGAUCGGAGUCUGCAACCCGACUCCGUGAAGCUGGAUUCGCUAGUAAUCGCGCAUCAGCCAUGGCGCGGUGAAUACGUUCCCGGGCCUUGUACACACCGCCCGUCAAGCCA
rnacentral:rRNA from 1 species